rnacentral:rRNA from 1 species
UUGAACGCUGGCGGCAUGUACACAUGCAAGUCGAGCGGUAACAGGUCUCGGAUGCUGACGAGUGGCGAACGGGUGAGUAAUACAUCGGAACGUGCCUAGUAGUGGGGGAUAACUACUCGAAAGAGUAGCUAAUACCGCAUGAGAUCUACGGAUGAAAGCAGGGGACCUUCGGGCCUUGUGCUACUAGAGCGGCUGAUGGCAGAUUAGGUAGUUGGUGGGGUAAAGGCUUACCAAGCCUGCGAUCUGUAGCUGGUCUGAGAGGACGACCAGCCACACUGGGACUGAGACACGGCCCAGACUCCUACGGGAGGCAGCAGUGGGGAAUUUUGGACAAUGGGCGAAAGCCUGAUCCAGCAAUGCCGCGUGCAGGAUGAAGGCCCUCGGGUUGUAAACUGCUUUUGUACGGAACGAAAAGCCUGGGGCUAAUAUCCCCGGGUCAUGACGGUACCGUAAGAAUAAGCACCGGCUAACUACGUGCCAGCAGCCGCGGUAAUACGUAGGGUGCAAGCGUUAAUCGGAAUUACUGGGCGUAAAGCGUGCGCAGGCGGUUUUGUAAGACAGUGGUGAAAUCCCCGGGCUCAACCUGGGAACU